rnacentral:rRNA from 1 species
AUUGAACGCUGGCGGCAGGCCUAACACAUGCAAGCCGAGCGGAUGAGUGGAGCUUGCUCCAUGAUUCAGCGGCGGACGGGUGAGUAAUGCCUAGGAAUCUGCCUGGUAGUGGGGGACAACGUUUCGAAAGGAACGCUAAUACCGCAUACGUCCUACGGGAGAAAGCAGGGGGACCUUCGGGCCUUGCGCUAUCAGAUGAGCCUAGGUCGGAUUAGCUAGUAGGUGAGGUAAUGGCUCACCUAGGCGACGAUCCGUAACUGGUCUGAGAGGACGACCAGCCACACUGGGACUGAGACACGGCCCAGACUCCUACGGGAGGCAGCAGUGGGGAAUUUUGGACAAUGGGCGCAAGCCUGAUCCAGCAAUGCCGCGUGCAGGAUGAAGGCC